AGAGUUUGAUCCUGGCUCAGGAUGAACGCUGGCGGCGUGCUUAACACAUGCAAGUCGAACGAACCUUCGGGUUAGCGGCGGACGGGUGAGUAACGCGUGAGAAUCUGCCCUCAGGAGGGGGAUAACGGCUGGAAACGGCCGCUAAUACCCCAUAUGCCGAGAGGUGAAACGAGUUUUCGCCUGAGGAUGAGCUCGCGUCUGAUUAGCUAGUUGGUGAGGUAAUGGCUCACCAAGGCAUCGAUCAGUAGCUGGUCUGAGAGGAUGAUCAGCCACACUGGGACUGAGACACGGCCCAGACUCCUACGGGAGGCAGCAGUGGGGAAUUUUCCGCAAUGGGCGGAAGCCUGACGGAGCAACGCCGCGUGAGGGAUGAAGGCCUCUGGGCUGUAAACCUCUUUUCUCAAGGAAGAAGACCUGACGGUACUUGAGGAAUAAGCCACGGCUAAUUCCGUGCCAGCAGCCGCGGUAAUACGGGAGUGGCAAGCGUUAUCCGGAAUUAUUGGGCGUAAAGCGUCCGCAGGCGGCCUUUUAAGUCUGUUGUCAAAGCGUGGAGCUUAACUCCAUUUCGGCAAUGGAAACUGGGAGGCUUGAGUGUGGUAGGGGCAGAGGGAAUUCCCGGUGUAGCGGUGAAAUGCGUAGAUAUCGGGAAGAACACCAGUGGCGAAGGCGCUCUGCUGGGCCAUAACUGACGCUCAUGGACGAAAGCCAGGGGAGCGAAAGGGAUUAGAUACCCCUGUAGUCCUGGCCGUAAACGAUGAACACUAGGUGUCGGGGGAAUCGACCCCCUCGGUGUCGUAGCCAACGCGUUAAGUGUUCCGCCUGGGGAGUACGCACGCAAGUGUGAAACUCAAAGGAAUUGACGGGGGCCCGCACAAGCGGUGGAGUAUGUGGUUUAAUUCGAUGCAACGCGAAGAACCUUACCAGGGUUUGACAUCCUGCGAAUCCCUUGGAAACUUGGGAGUGCCUUCGGGAGCGCAGAGACAGGUGGUGCACGGCUGUCGUCAGCUCGUGUCGUGAGAUGUUGGGUUAAGUCCCGCAACGAGCGCAACCCACGUCUUUAGUUGCCAGCAUUGAGUUGGGCACUCUAGAGAGACCGCCGGUGAUAAACCGGAGGAAGGUGUGGAUGACGUCAAGUCAUCAUGCCCCUUACAUCCUGGGCUACACACGUACUACAAUGCUACGGACAAAGGGCAGCAAACUCGCGAGAGCUAGCAAAUCCCAUAAACCGUGGCUCAGUUCAGAUCGUAGGCUGCAACUCGCCUACGUGAAGGAGGAAUCGCUAGUAAUCGCAGGUCAGCAUACUGCGGUGAAUACGUUCCCGGGCCUUGUACACACCGCCCGUCACACCAUGGAAGUUGGCCACGCCCGAAGCCGUUACUCCAACCCUUGUGGAGGAGGACGUCGAAGGUGGGGCUGAUGA
rnacentral:rRNA from 1 species